rnacentral:rRNA from 1 species
CGGGGGAACUGAAACAUCUAAGUACCCCGAGGAAAAGAAAUCAACCGAGAUUCCCCCAGUAGCGGCGAGCGAACGGGGAGCAGCCCAGAGCCUGAAUCAGUAUGUGUGUUAGUGGAAGCGUCUGGAAAGGCGCGCGAUACAGGGUGACAGCCCCGUACACAAAAAUGCACAUGCUGUGAGCUCGAUGAGUAGGGCGGGACACGUGGUAUCCUGUCUGAAUAUGGGGGGACCAUCCUCCAAGGCUAAAUACUCCUGACUGACCGAUAGUGAACCAGUACCGUGAGGGAAAGGCGAAAAGAACCCCGGCGAGGGGAGUGAAAAAGAACCUGAAACCGUGUACGUACAAGCAGUGGGAGCACGCUUAGGCGUGUGACUGCGUACCUUUUGUAUAAUGGGUCAGCGACUUAUAUUCUGUAGCAAGGUUAACCGAAUAGGGGAGCCGAAGGGAAACCGAGUCUUAACUGGGCGUUAAGUUGCAGGGUAUAGACCCGAAACCCGGUGAUCUAGCCAUGGGCAGGUUGAAGGUUGGGUAACACUAACUGGAGGACCGAACCGACUAAUGUUGAAAAAUUAGCGGAUGACUUGUGGCUGGGGGUGAAAGGCCAAUCAAACCGGGAGAUAGCUGGUUCUCCCCGAAAGCUAUUUAGGUAGCGCCUCGUGAAUUCAUCUCCGGGGGUAGAGCACUGUUUCGGCAAGGGGGUCAUCCCGACUUACCAACCCGAUGCAAACUGCGAAUACCGGAGAAUGUUAUCACGGGAGACACACGGCGGGUGCUAACGUCCGUCGUGAAGAGGGAAACAACCCAGACCGCCAGCUAAGGUCCCAAAGUCAUGGUUAAGUGGGAAACGAUGUGGGAAGGCCCAGACAGCCAGGAUGUUGGCUUAGAAGCAGCCAUCAUUUAAAGAAAGCGUAAUAGCUCACUGGUCGAGUCGGCCUGCGCGGAAGAUGUAACGGGGCUAAACCAUGCACCGAAGCUGCGGCAGCGACACUAUGUGUUGUUGGGUAGGGGAGCGUUCUGUAAGCCUGUGAAGGUGUGCUGUGAGGCAUGCUGGAGGUAUCAGAAGUGCGAAUGCUGACAUAAGUAACGAUAAAGCGGGUGAAAAGCCCGCUCGCCGGAAGACCAAGGGUUCCUGUCCAACGUUAAUCGGGGCAGGGUGAGUCGACCCCUAAGGCGAGGCCGAAAGGCGUAGUCGAUGGGAAACAGGUUAAUAUUCCUGUACUUGGUGUUACUGCGAAGGGGGGACGGAGAAGGCUAUGUUGGCCGGGCGACGGUUGUCCCGGUUUAAGCGUGUAGGCUGGUUUUCCAGGCAAAUCCGGAAAAUCAAGGCUGAGGCGUGAUGACGAGGCACUACGGUGCUGAAGCAACAAAUGCCCUGCUUCCAGGAAAAGCCUCUAAGCAUCAGGUAACAUCAAAUCGUACCCCAAACCGACACAGGUGGUCAGGUAGAGAAUACCAAGGCGCUUGAGAGAACUCGGGUGAAGGAACUAGGCAAAAUGGUGCCGUAACUUCGGGAGAAGGCACGCUGAUAUGUAGGUGAAGUCCCUCGCGGAUGGAGCUGAAAUCAGUCGAAGAUACCAGCUGGCUGCAACUGUUUAUUAAAAACACAGCACUGUGCAAACACGAAAGUGGACGUAUACGGUGUGACGCCUGCCCGGUGCCGGAAGGUUAAUUGAUGGGGUUAGCCGCAAGGCGAAGCUCUUGAUCGAAGCCCCGGUAAACGGCGGCCGUAACUAUAACGGUCCUAAGGUAGCGAAAUUCCUUGUCGGGUAAGUUCCGACCUGCACGAAUGGCGUAAUGAUGGCCAGGCUGUCUCCACCCGAGACUCAGUGAAAUUGAACUCGCUGUGAAGAUGCAGUGUACCCGCGGCAAGACGGAAAGACCCCGUGAACCUUUACUAUAGCUUGACACUGAACAUUGAGCCUUGAUGUGUAGGAUAGGUGGGAGGCUUUGAAGUGUGGACGCCAGUCUGCAUGGAGCCGACCUUGAAAUACCACCCUUUAAUGUUUGAUGUUCUAACGUUGACCCGUAAUCCGGGUUGCGGACAGUGUCUGGUGGGUAGUUUGACUGGGGCGGUCUCCUCCUAAAGAGUAACGGAGGAGCACGAAGGUUGGCUAAUCCUGGUCGGACAUCAGGAGGUUAGUGCAAUGGCAUAAGCCAGCUUGACUGCGAGCGUGACGGCGCGAGCAGGUGCGAAAGCAGGUCAUAGUGAUCCGGUGGUUCUGAAUGGAAGGGCCAUCGCUCAACGGAUAAAAGGUACUCCGGGGAUAACAGGCUGAUACCGCCCAAGAGUUCAUAUCGACGGCGGUGUUUGGCACCUCGAUGUCGGCUCAUCACAUCCUGGGGCUGAAGUAGGUCCCAAGGGUAUGGCUGUUCGCCAUUUAAAGUGGUACGCGAGCUGGGUUUAGAACGUCGUGAGACAGUUCGGUCCCUAUCUGCCGUGGGCGCUGGAGAACUGAGGGGGGCUGCUCCUAGUACGAGAGGACCGGAGUGGACGCAUCACUGGUGUUCGGGUUGUCAUGCCAAUGGCACUGCCCGGUAGCUAAAUGCGGAAGAGAUAAGUGCUGAAAGCAUCUAAGCACGAAACUUGCCCCGAGAUGAGUUCUCCCUGACCCUUUAAGGGUCCUGAAGGAACGUUGAAGACGACGACGUUGAUAGGCCGGGUGUGUAAGCGCAGCGAUGCGUUGAGCUAACCGGUACUAAUGAACCGUGAGGCUUAACCUU